CACGGUUUCACAAGGUUACCCAGCGUUUCAUAGUGAUCACCGGGUUAAUUGACACUUGCAUACGCGGUUACGAUCAGUAGUUGAAAUAUAGAACUACUGAGAACUGGGGAUAAGGGAAUCGGUUUUAGAACGCCGUUACGCACGAGGAAUAGUAUUCGCUCUGCCGUCCGGUCAGUGAAGCAAAAAAAUACCGAGUUCUAGA